CUCGGAUCAACCUUUUUUUUUUGGGGAAAAUAUUUAUGCUAUAGCUAAAUAUAGUAUAUCAAAGCACAGAACAACCAUACACCAAUCAUCAUCCAUGAGCCAUAUUUUAAAUAUGAUAUCGAUCAAAACAGUAUCUAGAUAGUUUAUUAAAUCCCCUUGCCUACCAAUCAUCAAUACUUACAAUUAUGCAACAAUCACCUUUUAAGUUAAAAUAUAAUAUCGAUGAAAAUAUGCAAAAAUAUGCAAAAUCAACAAUAAAAAAAGAAAAAUUAAGAAAAUAACAAAUGAAAAUGUAACAAAAAGCGAUAGUUUAUUGUAUAAAAGGUAGCAGAUGAAUUUCUUUCUUCUGCCUAGUGUCAACUUUAUAAACACCUUAACCAUUACGUUUUUUUUCCUCG
rnacentral:lncRNA from 1 species